UGACUGUUAGUGGUCCUGCUCUGCCAUUGGUUAGCACUGCAGUGGGCCCCUCCCAUGAGUGACCAACGGUCAGUGAGCAACUGUUCGUGGGGGAUUCACCCACGGAUUGAAAAAGUUGUGGCCGUCAGGUGGAGAGUGAGCCAGGAUGGACCUUGGAGAGUGAGGGUUGAGCCUUGGGAGCUUGCCCUUCCUUGUCAGAACAGAGAAGAUUUGUUUGGUGGCGAUUUAUAGGCACUGCGUUACCUGACCAUGAAGUGACCUCAAGAACAAAGGGUCUGACACCAAGAAGUUUACAACAGCCAACCACACCCCUCCCUCACCUUUCCUAGGAAAGGGCUUUGUUGAAGGCUUUCAGGAGUUUGGGCCAUCUCCUUCCAUAGUCCUGCAAUAAAUCUUUCUCUGUUCCAAACUACAA